CAGGGAGCCGUUUCCGGGCCGGAGCUCCCGUGGGGGCGGCCAUGUCGCGAUACGGAACGUGAGCUGUGGAGCCGGCCGCGCCCCUGUCCCUGAGGGAGAGAGUCGCCGGGGGAUGUGAGGCCGCUGUCCCUGCGGUGGCUGUGGGGCCUGGGCGCUCCUCCGCUGUAGCCUCCGCAUCUAGGGCCGCAUCCCCCGUUCUCCAUCCCUGGAGACACCGACGGGAGAUCGGACGGACAACAAACCGCCGCUGUCGUGGCGAUGGAGGGGGCGGAGGGCCCGGCCUCACGGGGCUCAGGCGGGGAGCGGGCCCGGGCCCGGGCGGCGAGUGGUCGGGCAGGCCGGGGGAGGCAGGGGCCCACCGCUUGGGGCUGCUCCUGCCUCGGGUGUCGAGGUGCCGCCUUCCAGCGCUCCUCGGUGGCCUCUGCUGGUACCUGGCAGCGACGGCGGCUGAGGUGCACCGGGCCUACAGGUUGCCCGACCCACGGGCUGCUCCGGGACCCCCUGGGCCGUCUGUCUUUGCCUUGAAGGAAACAAAAAAACAAGGGCCGAGACUGAAUGCUGAUGAGGCCAAUUCCAUGGUGGAGAAGCAGCGUUAUUACCGUGGUUAUCCAGGUGCCCAAGUAGGUUUGCCCAGAAUAAAAGAAGAAUCUAGCUGUAAAAAUGAAUUACACCUGCCUAGCAUUCGGAGAUGGCGCGCUCUGUGGCUUUUAUCGCUUUGGGAUCGUUGUCACUCAAGAGUUGUCCUUCUGUUCUCCAGUAAUGCAGCUCUGCAGCAUCUAGUGAGAAAUUGAUUCGUCCCUGACUAAAAUUCAAUACAGUGAGCGCGUUUCUCACAAUCUGGAGGCUCGUCUGGGAUCUCUGACCUACGUCCAGAGCCUCAGACGGGUGAGUAAGCCGGGACAGGAUGGCACACCAUUGCUGAUUGCAGCAAUCCUUGGAUUCUGCCUGUCCACGGUGACAGACCGGUGGUGAUGGCCCAGUGUGGACCAAAGAGGGGUCCCAGGGAUAACAGCAGCAGCCAAUAAUCAUUGUGCACAAGACCCAGGAGGUUCCAAUGCCAAGGGCUCAAAAUGGAUUAGGAUUUGUGAAUGUGCCCCUCACCAACACAGAAGUACAAGGAACUUUAAGAAAGAGACAAAGACAUUUUUGGAAGAUCCCCUAGGUUUGUCAGAACAAUUAGACCAAUUCUUGGGUCCGAAUGUAUAUAACUGGGAAGAAAUGCAAUCCCUCAUGGGGACUCUGUUUAUCCCUGAGGAAAAACAAAUGAUUCGGGUAGCAGGAAUGAGAAUAUGGGAAAGGGACCUGGGGAUCUCUCCAGAUGAAAUAAUGUUUGGACUCCCCUACAUGGGCAAUAGGGAAAGGAUUCUAGUCACGGAACAAGGAGAGUCUUAUGGUCACAAGUACGUUUUGACCAUUGUAAAGACAUUAGAGCAACUCUGAGAGAAAGGGAGACUCCCACAAACCACUCCAUUAGACUUUAAAAUACACAAUAUCCAAAUAAGAGAUUAGGUAUUAAUAAAACCAUGGAAAAAAGAAACUUGAAGACCUACCUGGGCAGGAGCCUUCCAGGUGCUGCUAACCACCAAAACAGCGAUUCGAACAAAAGACAAAGGGUGUGCCCACAUAACACGGGUAAAAGGACCAGUAACACCACCCGAGGAUUGGGUGGUAGAGACACACAAAGACCCCUUGAAAUUAACCACGAGGAAGAAGUCUCAUGUUCUGGUCUUGACAGGUGAAGGUUCCAAAGAGUUCUCAGAAGAUGCGUAAGAUUCGAUGCUGCUUUUUGGGAGCAACAGCCAGCGAAAGCCCCAGAAGCACCUUCAGACUAAGGCAGCAAAACUCCUCGACUCUGCUGCUAUCUUAAUUGUUGCAUAUAUAUGUGGCUUAAGUGUAACAAUGUUAGUAAUCUAGGUCCCCAUGGCAAACAGGAGCAGUACCUCUCCCAAGACCUUGAUCUUUGGUGUAUCCAAUGUGGGUAUAAAACCCCAAUAGAUAAGUGUAAAUGGAUCAGAUAUUAUCGUUGUAGAACCCACCGAGAAUUAAUGUAGACCAGCUUGAUGUGACAAAGGUUAUAAAACAGAAAGAAAAAGAAUUAAAAAUAUAAACCAAGAGUAUAUACCAUAAGGCAAAAAGAGUUGGGAUUCCCCACUCUUGAGCAGAACUUGUUUUUAAAUCUAGCAACAGAAAUAGCUAAAGAAUUGAAUGUGACUGAUUGCUGCGUCUGUGGGGGACCUUUAAUGACUGAAGAGUGGCCAUGGAGAGGCACAAGUUUAAGUCCUUUUGAAAUCCUGGAAUGGAAUGAUACGCUCACCAUGAGAGGAAAAAGGAGACCUGAUGGGUGAAUGUUAAGUUCCACAGUAAUUGGAAAAGUUUGUUUGACCUGGGACACAGGGAACUUUACAGAUGGAAUGGGAGACACACCACGUCACUAUGGCUUAAAAGUAGAUGCAAAUUCUACUCGAACUUGGUUUCCUCUGAAACCAAGGUCAUAUCUAACAUUUCAAAAUGAAACCAAGAAUUGUACCCAGGUAAAAAACAAUUACCUUUUUAGGUGUAAGAAAGAGGGUAUGAAUCCAUUCUCAGGAAUAAAAGACAUCUUGAAUUAUUGAGAUAAUACAGAGAAUACCAUGAAAGGGUUCUGUGAAAACCUCGACGAGGCCACUCAAAUUCUUGCUAAAAUAGAAGACAAAUAUAAAGCACUUCAGCAAAAUUAGAUAAGGAAAAGAAAAAGGGGGGAAUUGCAAUAAGUAAUUUAGGAGGAAAAUUGUGCUUCAGCUAAAAUAUGUAUGUGCUUGCUGUGCAGUCGGGAAAUGUACAGCAAGCAAAGCAAGCAUAUGUAAGAAAAGAGUUAAGGCACAGGAGGAGAAAUCCCCUGUGUGGCUCCCAGCGCUGUAAAUAAAUGUUCUUUGC